GGUGGCUCAGUGUUAGAGCACUUGCCUUGCAUGCAUGAGGCCCUGCGUUCGAUUCCACAGCACCA
rnacentral:tRNA from 1 species